rnacentral:rRNA from 1 species
AUGCAAGUCGAACGGUAACAGGUCUUCGGAUGCUGACGAGUGGCGAACGGGUGAGUAAUGCAUCGGAACGUGCCCAGUCGUGGGGGAUAACGCAGCGAAAGCUGUGCUAAUACCGCAUACGAUCUAUGGAUGAAAGCGGGGGAUCGCAAGACCUCGCGCGAUUGGAGCGGCCGAUGUCAGAUUAGCUAGUUGGUGGGGUAAAGGCCCACCAAGGCGACGAUCUGUAGCUGGUCUGAGAGGACGACCAGCCACACUGGGACUGAGACACGGCCCAGACUCCUACGGGAGGCAGCAGUGGGGAAUUUUGGACAAUGGGCGCAAGCCUGAUCCAGCAAUGCCGCGUGCAGGAAGAAGGCCUUCGGGUUGUAAACUGCUUUUGUACGGAACGAAAAGGUCUGGGUUAAUACCCUGGGCUCAUGACGGUACCGUAAG